rnacentral:lncRNA from 1 species
CGUCGUCACCUUCACCAUGAGCCGUGCGGCCUUUUCCAGCUGGGGCUCCCCACUGCUCAGAGAUAAAGGUUUCCAGAGGCGUCAGCAUGACGCUCAGCCCCGGCCUCUUUUUCUCUCGUUCUUGCACCAUCUGUCUGUUGAGUGCCUGCCACAUGCCAGGUGCAGCCUCAGAUGCCGGAGGCAUAGUCACUUUCGGAUGAGGGAAGCAGAUAGCCCACCAGCGAGCACAGGGACGUGCCAGGUCAGUCCAAGCAGGAGCAAGUGCUCAGGAAAUAAACCAGAUGGGAGUGGUAGGGAGUGGCCAGGGUGGGGACUCUGGCCAGGGUAUCUAGGAAGUCCUCUUUGAGGAGGUGCUGUUGGAACCAGGACUCAGUCCUUCAGAGAGCCACAGGCUGAGCACUCCUGGCAGGGCAGCAGCAGGGGCAAGGCGGCCGAGCGGAGAAUGGGCCUGGCUUGUCUGAAGACCAAGACGGCUGUGGCUGCAGCGGAGUUAAGCGGGAGAGGUGGGAGAGGAGAGCAGGAAGGCAGGGGCCAGGCAGCCUGGGGCCUCGUCCAGACUCUCAGCUUCUGUACUUCUCCCUGGGGACAUCUGUGAGUCGCUGAGCUGUGGACAGGGAGUGCUCACUGAGUCACCCAGGGCCUCACGGCAGGACCUGGCCACAUCUUCUCACGAAGGACCCGGUUCAUUGAUUCUCCUUCCUCAAAUAGGUCCCCUCCACCCAGCAGAACCCAAAGGAAUCAAAAGCUUGGGGGUUUUGUGCAUUUGUUUUAAGAUUCCAACUUUCUUGUCCAUUUACCUUUUUAUUUUUUAUUUUUUUGAGACAGAUUUCGCUCUUGUCGCCCAGGCUGGAGUGCAACGGUAUGAUCUCAUGUCACGGCAACCUCCGCCUCCCAGGUUCAAGCAAUUCUCCCGCCUCAGCCUCCCGAGUAGCUGGGACUACAGGUGCCUGCCACCAAGCUCAGCUAAUUUUUGUAUCUUUAGUAGAGACGGGGUUUCACUAUGCUGGCCAGGCUCGUCUCGAACUCCUGACCUCAAGUGAUCCGCGCGCCUCGGCCUCCCAAAGUGCUGGGAUUACAGGCGUGAGCCACCACGUCUGGCCUUCUUGUCCGUUUAUUUAUUCAUUCAACAAAUAUUCAUGAAAUGUAUGUUGUAAGCUGAAUACUUUGCCAGGCUCCGAGGACCAGUCAGGCACUUUGAUGCCUUCAAGCAGCCUAGGACCUAGAGGUUUCAAUGCCUCUGCUUUCCUAUUUAUAAAUGGGCAGACUGGACCUGAAGUCCUGAAGGCUCACCCGCCUGGAAGCCACCUCUCCUCUGGAGUUCUGAUGACGCUGCAGAAGCCUGGGAAAAUAACAAGAAAGCUCUAUUUACAGAAAAACACCAGCUAAAAAAUGUAGAAGGAAUCUAAAAGGUAUCGAAAGUUACCACCUUGCAAGUGGAAUAUUGGUUUUGGCCAAAGAUGCUAAAAUGAUCAACAGAAGGGUCGUCCUUUCUGUUGGGAACCAGGAUGCUCACAAGGCAUUGCCCACAAGGGACACUAAUUGCAAAAGGGACAGUGUGCCUCCACAGGGGAACAGCUGGUGUCACCAUCUUAACAAGGGAUCUGACAGCAUCACCGUGGGGGGAGAAAGCCAACAUCAUGCACCUCCAGGAGCUCUCAGAGGUUGGAGGAACACGUGAACCAACACCAGGAGGAUACAGCCCGAGAGAUCAGCCAUGGGACAUUUCACAAGACCACGGCCAAGUCUCUUCACAAAGUCAACGUCAAACACACCAAACAAAGGAAAAAAAGAUAAAAGAGAAGAAAAAGAGCAAAAGGGAAGGGACUGCUCUAGCCAAAAAAGGACUACACAGAUACAAUGACCGGAUGUAAUAUGUGACCCCCAGAGGGAUACCGAUUCAAAAGAUGCAGCCAUGGAAAAUGUCUUAUAAGCACCAGGGCCAUUUAAAUGUGGACUAGAUGUCAGAUGGUCUUAUUGAACUAUGAUUGACUUUCUUAGAUGUGAUCAUGACAGUCUAUGUGAGAGAAUGUCCAUUUUCUUAGGAGGUGCCUUGUGGACACACUUAGGACUGCAGUGUCGGGAUGUCUGCAAAUUGCCUUCAGGGUCUCAGCCAGAAGGCAGGCAGGAAGAGACAGAGAUGGAUGGAGCCAUGCAGACACCAAGGUGAAGAGCUACUGAAUCUUGGUGGAGGGUCCCUGAGUCUUCAUUAUAAUUUUAACUUUCUUGAAGUUUUGAAGUUUUCAUAAUAAAAAGUUAGGAGGGAAACAUUUUAAAGUAGAGAAACUAGAUCUUCCCACAGAACACUGGGGACCCUUAUUAUUAUUAUUUUAAACCCUGCUCUUUGCUUUUUCAAAGUGAGUUUUGCUAAAAUAAUGGUAUCUAGCAUUUCUGAGAAAUUAGCACAAAUGUACAGCUACAUUAGCAACAGGAAAUUCAGCACAUCUGAGUCAUCUAUGUAAAUGGCAAUAAUGAAAAUGAGGGCUUUCGCUGCAUGUCUAAGAAAUGUCCUCUUUUGGAGACUCUUCCUUUUGUUUUACACCCAGAACUGUCUCAGAGGAGGUUCAACAGCAGGGCCUCAAGGGACCAGGAGUAGGUGGCAGACAUGAGGGAGCUCAAAGAGACCACAGCACCUGCAGGGAUGUGGGUCUUUAGGGCCAAAAUACCACGGACAUGCUAGUGCAGAGUGGAACCAUCUCCCUGGGAAAUAUUGAUCAACAGGCCAGUGUUGCCUUUCUUCAAACAAUUUAACUUAAGGAGCUCAUGCCCCUCAAGGUGACAAAGACGGUAAAAUGUGAAUUAAAUGAGCAGAUGUUACGUGUUUAGAACAGUGCCCUAAGUUUUCCCUGUUGUUACUCCCAAUGAUCACUGUAGGAGUUCAUUUCAAAAGCUAAGAACUGUCCGGCAGGCUAUACUAAAUGGAAAAGGUGGCAUGCUAAACAGCAACCUUGAUCUGUAUAAGCCAGCAGUUGUGUUAAAAAAAAAAAAAAAAGGUAUGGAGGGGGAGGGAGAGGUGAAAUAUAUCCUCUAGCGACACGCACAUGCUCAGAAAUGCCUAGGCUUUGCUGGGAGGCUGUAUGAACAAGGUCCACUAAGGGUUGCCGCCUUUGAGUAGGGACAUCAUGGGCCUAGGAUAACCAGACAGGAGAGAAAUUUACUUCCGCCAUAUUCUUUUACUGCUUGAAUUUUUUUCUUUACUAUGUGUGCAUUUUAACUCGCUAAUUAUACAUAUAUAAAUGAACCAGGUCCAAAACCUUAAGGUAUAUGAGUUAUCUCUACUCUGGGUUCUAAAUCUCUUCUGUCACCUUGGCUGUGGAGCUUAAAAUUAGAAUCCCGCAUCCUCUUGGGAGACAGCUCAAAAAAAGGCUGGUCUCAGAAUGAGCUUUAGAAACCUCCAGCACCUGUUCAAUCUUCUGGGGGAGCCAGUGCAGAGGGGGAAUCUAUUUUUGUGUUUCAUGAAACGAUCCCAUUUGUAUGUUUCCAUUUAUACAAAGUUUGGGGAACAAGCAAAAUGAAUCUGUGGUGGCAGGAGUCAGAAUUGUGACUCUCUUGGGGAUGGAGUGGGGUGUGCUGGCUGGAAGGGGCAGUGAGGGACCUUCUGGGGGCUGUGCAUGCUCUGAGUUGUGAUCUGAGUUGUGGUUGCCUGGGUGUGCAUGUAUGAGAACACUUACUGAACUUCCCAUUUUAAAAGGGUGCAUUUCACUGUCUGUAAAUUACACCAUCUAAUUAAAGAAAAUAGAAAGCAAAUUAAAUCCAUUCUCUGUAAACUGCAUUUGAGCAAAAGCAUUAACAAGCUGUGAUUGGCAGUAAGACAUUAGGGAACUCUGUCAUUCAAUUCUCAGCCACUCCCCAAAUCAGGCUGGAUUUUGUUUGUUUUUCAUUUCAGGCAUAACAGGUAUUGGCUUUAAAACUCCAGGACAAUGUGUGUGGCUGCAGAGAGCAGCAUUCAGUCCCAUGGAAGCACAGUCUGGAAGCACAGUCUGCUCACUGGACAAAGCUGAACUUGCUGUCUUUCCUUCUUCUCCUUCCUUCUCCUCUUUCUCCUUCUCCUUCUUCUUCCUCCUCCUCCUUUUUUUGCGACAGGUUCUCAUUCUGUAGCCCAGGCUGGAGUGCAGUGGUGUGAUCAUAGCUCACUGUAGCCUUGAACUCCUGAGCUCCAGCCCAGUGUUGCAAUCCUCCAGCCUCCCAAGUUGCUAGGACUACGGGUGCACACCACCACACCCAGCUAAUUAAAAAAAAAAUUAGGCUGGGUGCAGUGGCUAACGCCUGUAAUCCCAGCACUUUGGGAGGCCAAGACGGGUAGAUCACUUGAGGUCAGGAGUUCGAGACCAGCCUGGACAACAUGGUGAAACCCUGUCUCCAAUAAAAAUACAAAAAUUAGCCGGGAGUGGUGGCUCACUCCUCUAGUCCCAGCUACUCAGGAGGCUGAGGCACGAGAAUCGCUUGAACCCAGGAGGUGGAGGUUGUAGUGAGCUGAGAUCACGCCACCACACUCCAGCCUGGGCAACAGAGUGAGACUCGGUC